GGCUGGUCCAAAGGUAGUGAGUUAUCUCAAUCGAUUGUUCACAGUCAGUCACAGAUUGAACUCCUCAUUCUACUCCUUCCCUCUUUCUCACUACUAAACUUAACUAGUCUAAA
ensembl:misc_RNA Y_RNA Y RNA